rnacentral:rRNA from 1 species
GUAAGGAAUAUUGGUCAAUGCCCGCAAGGGUGAACCAGCCAUUCCGCGUGGAGGAUGAAGGCCCUAUGGGUUGUAAACUUCUUUUAGAUGGGAAGAAAAUGCUAGAUGUAUCUGGUACUGACGGUACCAUCAGAAUAAGCACCGGCUAACUCCGUGCCAGCAGCCGCGGUAAUACGGAGGGUGCGAGCGUUAUCCGGAAUUACUGGGUUUAAAGGGUGCGUAGGCGGAUGAUUAAGUCUAAGGUGAAAGUUUGUCGCUUAACGAUAAAAUUGCCUUGGAUACUGGUUAUCUUGAAUAAGGAUGAGGAUGGCGGAAUGUGGCAUGUAGCGGUGAAAUGCAUAGAUAUGCCAUAGAACACCAAUUGCGAAGGCAGCUAUCUGGUCUUUUAUUGACGCUGAGGCACGAAAGCGUGGGGAUCGAACAGGAUUAGAAACCCUAGUAGUCC